CGGCCACUUCAGACGCGCUGCUGGCUGGGCCGACGACGGGCGGGCUUGCUUGCCUUUGCCCCCCUUUCCCCUCCCCGUCGUGACGAAUGUAAGGAAGGAGGAAAGCCGUCGUACUCAUCGGAAGAGCUCGUUCCGUUUUCCAUCGUGGGCAAAGCCGUAAAGAACCGGAGAGACGCAGCUCGGGAGGAGAAGCUCUUUAAGGCAGGCGCGCGGCCAAGCUGAAGCCAAAGGCCAUCAGAAGAGGCGGGGAGGCGUUAUUUCUCAAUCCCCACCGGGCAGGCGCCCAUAAAAGAAGCGCCGGGGGAAGGAAGAAGCCGGCCCGUCCGCCGUUCUCUGUUCCGGGGCGCGAAGGCUGAUCUCAUCUGCACAGCCCUGAGCAUCAGAAGCGCGAAGACAGAGCUUCGGAGUCGCCAACCGCAGCCCGAGCCUGCCUAAGCCUACUCUUGAGCACAAGCUAACUACCAUGGUGGGUGAAGACAGUAUGUCUGUACGAAAUCGUAGGUCUGCAUAUGACACUGCAGAAGAGAAAGAUGACUUUUCAAGGAGGCUUGAAGGAAACUGGUCAUUCUCCAAAUCAAGCAAUGGUCAAGUGGAUUUUGAACAUACAAUAAUGAGAAAAAUGCAACUUGUAGCAGAGGCUGAGGUAAACAUAUUUCAGUUUCAUUUGUGCAACUAAACAUGACCUUCUAUUU
rnacentral:lncRNA from 1 species